rnacentral:rRNA from 1 species
AGAGUUUGAUCAUGGCUCAGGAUAAACGCUGGCGGCGUGCAUGAGACAUGCAAGUCGAACGGACGACUCGAGGCUUGCUUCGAGUCGUUAGUGGCGGACGGCUGAGUAACGCGUGGGUGACCUGCCCCGAAGUGGGGAAUAACUGCCCGAAAGGGUGGCUAAUACCGCAUGUGGUGAUGCGUUCAAUCGCAUCAGUAAAGCCGCAAGGCGCUUCGGGAGGGGCCUGCGUCCGAUUAGCUCGUUGGUGGGGUAACGGCUCACCAAGGCGACGAUCGGUAGGUGGUCUGAGAGGACGAUCACCCAGACUGGGACUGAGACACGGCCCAGACUCCUACGGGAGGCAGCAGUCGGGAAUUUUGCGCAAUGGACGAAAGUCUGACGCAGCAACGCCGCGUGAGGGAUGAAGGCCUUCGGGUUGUAAACCUCUUUUGUCAGGGACGAUGAUGACGGUACCUGACGAAUAAGCCACGGCUAACUACGUGCCAGCAGCGGCGGUAAUUC